rnacentral:tRNA from 1 species
GGCGCAUUCGUCUAGAGGCCCAGGACGCCGCCCUCUCAAGGCGGUAACAGGGUUCAGAAUCCCCUAUGCGCUACCA